GGGUUGUGAGGUUAAGCGACUAAGCGUACACGGUGGAUGCCCUGGCAGUCAGAGGCGAUGAAGGACGUGCUAAUCUGCGAUAAGCGUCGGUAAGGUGAUAUGAACCGUUAUAACCGGCGAUUUCCGAAUGGGGAAACCCAGUGUGUUUCGACACACUAUCAUUAACUGAAUCCAUAGGUUAAUGAGGCGAACCGGGGGAACUGAAACAUCUAAGUACCCCGAGGAAAAGAAAUCAACCGAGAUUCCCCCAGUAGCGGCGAGCGAACGGGGAGGAGCCCAGAGCCUGAAUCAGUGUGUGUGUUAGUGGAAGCGUCUGGAAAGGCGCGCGAUACAGGGUGACAGCCCCGUACACAAAAAUGCACAUAUUGUGAGCUCGAUGAGUAGGGCGGGACACGUGGUAUCCUGUCUGAAUAUGGGGGGACCAUCCUCCAAGGCUAAAUACUCCUGACUGACCGAUAGUGAACCAGUACCGUGAGGGAAAGGCGAAAAGAACCCCGGCGAGGGGAGUGAAAAAGAACCUGAAACCGUGUACGUACAAGCAGUGGGAGCCUCUUUUAUGGGGUGACUGCGUACCUUUUGUAUAAUGGGUCAGCGACUUAUAUUCUGUAGCAAGGUUAACCGAAUAGGGGAGCCGAAGGGAAACCGAGUCUUAACUGGGCGUUAAGUUGCAGGGUAUAGACCCGAAACCCGGUGAUCUAGCCAUGGGCAGGUUGAAGGUUGGGUAACACUAACUGGAGGACCGAACCGACUAAUGUUGAAAAAUUAGCGGAUGACUUGUGGCUGGGGGUGAAAGGCCAAUCAAACCGGGAGAUAGCUGGUUCUCCCCGAAAGCUAUUUAGGUAGCGCCUCGUGAACUCAUCUCCGGGGGUAGAGCACUGUUUCGGCAAGGGGGUCAUCCCGACUUACCAACCCGAUGCAAACUGCGAAUACCGGAGAAUGUUAUCACGGGAGACACACGGCGGGUGCUAACGUCCGUCGUGAAGAGGGAAACAACCCAGACCGCCAGCUAAGGUCCCAAAGUCAUGGUUAAGUGGGAAACGAUGUGGGAAGGCCCAGACAGCCAGGAUGUUGGCUUAGAAGCAGCCAUCAUUUAAAGAAAGCGUAAUAGCUCACUGGUCGAGUCGGCCUGCGCGGAAGAUGUAACGGGGCUAAACCAUGCACCGAAGCUGCGGCAGCGACACUAUGUGUUGUUGGGUAGGGGAGCGUUCUGUAAGCCUGUGAAGGUGUGCUGUGAGGCAUGCUGGAGGUAUCAGAAGUGCGAAUGCUGACAUAAGUAACGAUAAAGCGGGUGAAAAGCCCGCUCGCCGGAAGACCAAGGGUUCCUGUCCAACGUUAAUCGGGGCAGGGUGAGUCGACCCCUAAGGCGAGGCCGAAAGGCGUAGUCGAUGGGAAACAGGUUAAUAUUCCUGUACUUGGUGUUACUGCGAAGGGGGGACGGAGAAGGCUAUGUUGGCCGGGCGACGGUUGUCCCGGUUUAAGCGUGUAGGCUGGUUUUCCAGGCAAAUCCGGAAAAUCAAGGCUGAGGCGUGAUGACGAGGCACUACGGUGCUGAAGCAACAAAUGCCCUGCUUCCAGGAAAAGCCUCUAAGCAUCAGGUAACAUCAAAUCGUACCCCAAACCGACACAGGUGGUCAGGUAGAGAAUACCAAGGCGCUUGAGAGAACUCGGGUGAAGGAACUAGGCAAAAUGGUGCCGUAACUUCGGGAGAAGGCACGCUGAUAUGUAGGUGAAGUCCCUCGCGGAUGGAGCUGAAAUCAGUCGAAGAUACCAGCUGGCUGCAACUGUUUAUUAAAAACACAGCACUGUGCAAACACGAAAGUGGACGUAUACGGUGUGACGCCUGCCCGGUGCCGGAAGGUUAAUUGAUGGGGUUAGCGCAAGCGAAGCUCUUGAUCGAAGCCCCGGUAAACGGCGGCCGUAACUAUAACGGUCCUAAGGUAGCGAAAUUCCUUGUCGGGUAAGUUCCGACCUGCACGAAUGGCGUAAUGAUGGCCAGGCUGUCUCCACCCGAGACUCAGUGAAAUUGAACUCGCUGUGAAGAUGCAGUGUACCCGCGGCAAGACGGAAAGACCCCGUGAACCUUUACUAUAGCUUGACACUGAACAUUGAGCCUUGAUGUGUAGGAUAGGUGGGAGGCUUUGAAGUGUGGACGCCAGUCUGCAUGGAGCCGACCUUGAAAUACCACCCUUUAAUGUUUGAUGUUCUAACGUGGACCCGUGAUCCGGGUUGCGGACAGUGUCUGGUGGGUAGUUUGACUGGGGCGGUCUCCUCCUAAAGAGUAACGGAGGAGCACGAAGGUUGGCUAAUCCUGGUCGGACAUCAGGAGGUUAGUGCAAUGGCAUAAGCCAGCUUGACUGCGAGCGUGACGGCGCGAGCAGGUGCGAAAGCAGGUCAUAGUGAUCCGGUGGUUCUGAAUGGAAGGGCCAUCGCUCAACGGAUAAAAGGUACUCCGGGGAUAACAGGCUGAUACCGCCCAAGAGUUCAUAUCGACGGCGGUGUUUGGCACCUCGAUGUCGGCUCAUCACAUCCUGGGGCUGAAGUAGGUCCCAAGGGUAUGGCUGUUCGCCAUUUAAAGUGGUACGCGAGCUGGGUUUAGAACGUCGUGAGACAGUUCGGUCCCUAUCUGCCGUGGGCGCUGGAGAAUUGAGGGGGGCUGCUCCUAGUACGAGAGGACCGGAGUGGACGCAUCACUGGUGUUCGGGUUGUCAUGCCAAUGGCACUGCCCGGUAGCUAAAUGCGGAAGAGAUAAGUGCUGAAAGCAUCUAAGCACGAAACUUGCCCCGAGAUGAGUUCUCCCUGACCCUUUAAGGGUCCUGAAGGAACGUUGAAGACGACGACGUUGAUAGGCCGGGUGUGUAAGCGCAGCGAUGCGUUGAGCUAACCGGUACUAAUGAACCGUGAGGCUUAACCUUACAACGCCGAAGCUGUU
rnacentral:rRNA from 1 species